GGCAAAGACCGUGUAGUCGCCAUCGACCACCUGGACGUCUUCACUGAACGUGCCGGUCCCCGCCCUCCCGCCUGGGUCAGCCUCGCCCUUGGUGUCCACAGUGAAGUGCCCAGGCUGGGCUGCUGGGAUCAGCACGUGUUACUUGCCAGACCAAGGACAAACCACUGCCCCUGGAACUGCAGGACGGGUGACAGCAGUCCGUACCCCACCUCGCCAUACCCUGGACAGCCCUGAACCAAGAUCCCUGCCAGACAGCUGCCCCAGGGCUGGGCCUGCACCACGACUCUGGCAGGGUCACAGCCUGUCCUGCGUCUGGCAGGGACUGGGUGGCCUGGCCAAUUGCCAGUGGCCUUCCAGAGCCUCAGUUUCCCCACAUGUGCAGAGUCUAUGACCUGUGGGAGCCACAGGAGGGAAUGUCAGUGUCCUGCUCUGUUGGAGGCCAGGGGAGCCUGAGAGAAGGGCUCGCCUGCCUGGACUCCGGGGCAGUGCCCGCCACCCUCCUCCCUGAACCUGAACUUGGGCCCCGGCCCACUGCCCCGCCAACCCUGUACCUGUUUACUUUGGAAGUUUGCCACCUGUGGUGGGGUGGUUGGGUCCUGGCCCUGCAGGACUGUUGGAAGGGUGAGUGACAGCAACAAGACACACCAAGGGCCCAUCCUGGUAGCCACUGGCCCUAGAGGGACCUCUUUAGGGCUCACCUGGCGGGUGCCCCUCCCAAGGGGGUGUGGCGGAAGAGAUGUGGAGGGAAGUCUUGGGGAGGCAGGGCAGGCAGGAUGGUCCCUCCUCAGACCUCCCCCGCCGUGGUUCCCUGAGUCCCAGGCAGGAGGGACUGGGAAGGCCUGUUGGACCUGGCCUGGGCCUUGUCUUUGGAUCCCUCUGUGCCUUCGCCCCCUUUCAAGUGUCCCACCAAGGUCGGGGCCCUGCCCAGCCCUGCCCUGACGACCCUUCCCAACACAGAACAUCCUGUCCCAGGCAGAGAGCAUGACUGGUGCAGUCCUGAUGGGAUAUCUGCCCCACAGAGCUGUCCCCAGCCCCCAGGACUCCACAUGACCCCUGAGUUGAGUGAGCGAGGGUGGCACACCAGCUGGCCUGGUGGCCAGGAGAGCAUGGGCGGAGCCAGCCAGAGGGGGAGGGGAGGCGGCCUGGGUGCACCAGGGCUCCCUGGUAAGAACGGCAGAGACUUCCAAAGGGACCUCCACCCAAGCUGAGGGCAGGGGCUGUCCCCCUAAUGGAAGUAGGGACCCUGCCAGGGUCCUGCCCAAAAAAGAUCUAGCGAGGAGGACCCAGACAUCGGCUUCCAGCUGCCCUGGCCGUUUGGAAGUCAGGCCUCAGAAGUCAAUGCCCCUCUAUGGACACUCCUCCUCCACCCCACUGGCAGCUGAGGAGGUCAGGAGGCUGCGGCCAGGCCCCCGCCUGACAGGGCACCUCCUCUGCGAGCUCCCUGUCCUGGCCAACUCCUCCUCUCUCCUGCCAGGGUCCCUGGCCAUCUCCUCCCUCUCCCAGCCCUGCUCAUGGGGGACUUGGGCCCAUCCCAGGAAGUCCCUGGCCUGGCAACCUGUGCUGGGCAGGAACCCCACCACAAGGCUGAGGGCCUCAGGGCCAGACCUGCCCUCGCCUGGCAAGGGGGCAGCCUGCUGUGCUGACUGGUCCCCAUGACCCCUGGCCUUAGUCACCCAGGAAGAGAAUGGUGUGAACUGAGCCCAAGACUCCUCUGUACCCUGAGGUUCCAGAAGCACCUUUCUGCUCGCAUCUCCUGGGGCCUUCGGGAGCCUGAUCAGCAGCCCCUGGGCCCACUCUCACCCUGGCCAGACACGGCCCCUGCCCAGCUGUCUUAGUCACAGGGCACUCUGGGGAGCUGUGGGGAGCAGCAGUCAACAGCAUGUCCCAAGUACAGGGACAGCUGGUCCCUCCAUACACACACCCAAGCAGGGCCCUGAGGUGGACAGGGCACUGGGGACCCCGAGACAGCCCCUCACCCAGACAGGACCCAGGGCAGCCCCUGCCCCCGUUCCCGAGGCCCUCCCGCUCCCCUUCCCCGACACAGGUCUCAGAAAAGGUGACCAGGGAAGCAUUAGUUUCCACAGAUUCUUAAAACAAUUAUUCUCUUAAGAUGUUGCAAAUCACCUAUCAGAAUUCAAAGGCAAAAUACAAACUAUAAGAGCUCUAAAUAAAAAAAGAUGCACAAGGAG